GACGAACGCUGGCGGCGUGCCUAAUACAUGCAAGUCGAACGCUUCUUUCCUCCCGAGUGCUUGCACUCAAUUGGAAAGAGGAGUGGCGGACGGGUGAGUAACACGUGGGUAACCUACCCAUCAGAGGGGGAUGACACUUGGAAACAGGUGCUAAUACCGCAUAACAGUUUAUGCCGCAUGGCAUAAGAGUGAAAGGCGCUUUCGGGUGUCGCUGAUGGAUGGACCCGCGGUGCAUUAGCUAGUUGGUGAGGUAACGGCUCACCAAGGCCACGAUGCAUAGCCGGCCUGAGAGGGUGAUCGGCCACACUGGGACUGAGACACGGCCCAGACUCCUACGGGAGGCAGCAGUAGGGAAUCUUCGGCAAUGGACGAAAGUCUGACCGAGCAACGCCGCGUGAGUGAAGAAGGUUUUCGGAUCGUAAAACUCUGUUGUUAGAGAAGAACAAGGACGUUAGUAACUGAACGUCCCCUGACGGUAUCUAACCAGAAAGCCACGGCUAACUACGUG
rnacentral:rRNA from 1 species